GACGAACCGUGCGAACGUUGUUCGGAAUCACUGGCUUAAAGGGCGCGUAGGCGGGCUGUCAAGUCUGGGGUGAAAUCCCACGGCUCAACCGUGGAACUGCCUUAGAUACUGACGGCCUCGAGGGAGAUAAGGCGAGCGGAACUGUGAGUGGAGCGGUGAAAUGCGUUGAUAUUCACAGGAACUCCGGUGGUGAAGGCGGCUCGCUGGAUCUUUCUGACGCUGAGGCGCGAAGCUAGGGGAGCAAACGGG
rnacentral:rRNA from 1 species